rnacentral:rRNA from 1 species
AGAGUUUGAUCCUGGCUCAGGAUGAACGCUAGCGGCAGGCUUAAUACAUGCAAGUCGAGGGGUAACAGGGGAGCUUGCUCCCGCUGACGACCGGCGCACGGGUGCGUAACGCGUAUGCAACCUACCUUCAACUGGGGAAUAGCCCCGAGAAAUCGGGAUUAAUACCUCAUAAUAUUCAUCUUUCGCAUGAUUGAUGUCUUAAAGCUCCGGCGGUUGAAGAUGGGCAUGCGUGACAUUAGCUAGUUGGUGAGGUAACGGCUCACCAAGGCUGCGAUGUCUAGGGGUUCUGAGAGGAUUUUCCCCCACACUGGUACUGAGACACGGACCAGACUCCUACGGGAGGCAGCAGUAAGGAAUAUUGGGCAAUGGACGCAAGUCUGACCCAGCCAUGCCGCGUGCAGGAUGAAAGCCCUAUGGGUUGUAAACUGCUUUUAUAUGCCAAGAAACCCCCGCUCGUGAGCGGGGCUGACGGUAGCAUACGAAUAAGCACCGGCUAACUCCGUGC